GCGCUGGGCCCGCCUUGGCCGCUGCCGCUGUGCUGCCGCUGCCGGGGAAUAAUCUGGGCGGCAGCGGGCGGCCUCGGCUAGCGGCCACGAGCCACUUUUGCGGCUGCCCAGAGAAGCAAAGGUCACCAGUCCCAAGUCGUCCCCCUCUCCGCCCCCCAGGAGGGGCGAGAGGGAGCCGCAGCUGAUGUCAGAAAUACACUUUCGGGAAAUGGCCUCUAAAUCCUGGCUGAAUUUUUUAACCUUCCUCUGUGGAUCAGCAAUAGGAUUUCUUUUAUGUUCUCAGCUAUUUAGUAUUUUGUUGGGAGAAAAGGGUGACACCCAGCCUAAUGUUCUUCAUAAUGAUCCUCAUGCAAGGCAUUCAGAUGAUAAUGGACAGAAUCAUCUAGAAGGACAAAUGAACUUCAAUGCAGAUUCUAGCCAACAUAAAGGUAUGGUUUACUUUAUUAAGCAGUAAACAUAAGCAGUAUUUUCGUCUAAAUUUUGUCAUAUUCCUGUCUGUAUCUGUUAAUUAAAAUGGGCUAUAUAUUCCAGAUAUUAAAAAUAAUCCUUGGUUUGCCUCAAGAGAAGGGAAUUGCUAAAACUCUAUUUAGGGAAUAAGAUAUUAAUUUUGAAUUAGUUUUUAAGUAGAAAUAGUUCAGAACCCAUGAUUUGGGGAAGGGCAUAACUAUUCAGAUUUGAUUUGUUUCUGAAAAUGUUUUUCUAGGUUCAGUUUUGUUAUAUGUGUGUCUUUGGUUUUUGUUACUUGUUUUGGUCAUAGCUUUUGCUUAAGUCUUGUUUUCCUAGAGAAACUUGAGGUGUAUGUAAGUUUCGAUUUAUAUUUUUAUAAUUAGUUAAUAUAACUAAUCUUUUUUUUCCUCAAGAGGCACAAAGAACAAGGAAGUUAAAAACCAAGGAUGCGUUCUAAAGACUUCAUUUUCUCCUAGCCUCCUACCUCUAACCAGAUUUUCUCAGUUGAGUUAUUUAUGUGUCCCUUAAGUGUUGGUUCUAAGUUUCUGUCCUUUAGCUGUUUGUCUGUGUGACAUCAUUAACCCGCAUAAUUUUAAUUUCCUUCUAUUUCUUACUGUCUUUAGCCCAGUUCCAGACAUUGUGAGAUGACAUUAACACAAUGCAAAAUACGGUUUGACAGAAAAUAAUAUAAGUAGCUUGAAAACAAUUGGAAUUCUGGGAUGCAGAGGGU
rnacentral:sRNA from 1 species